UUUGUAUAAAAUUUUGAUUGUUGCUCAGAAAGCCGUGUCUUUUAAGCAAAUCGCUUUCGAGUAGUAAUCAAAGUCAAAUAAAAC
rfam:Anopheles farauti strain FAR1 unplaced genomic scaffold supercont2.1, whole genome shotgun sequence.